UUACAUAUAUUUUACCAUAAUAAAAAAUACAAAAUAAAAAUAUAUAGGUUUAAAAAAAGGUGACUUAGAGGAAGGGGGCUUUACUGCUUAAAAGAAUAGUAGUUGAUACAUUUGCAAAUUUCAAAUGGAGUACAACACUCAAUCGAUCACGAAAUUGAGGCCCAGAGAGAUUAAAUGACAUUUCCCAGUUCCCACACAGAGUCUGUGACAAAGCCAGGACAAGGCCCCAUUCCCUUAACUCCCAUCCAUGCUCUUUCCACAGUACUCACUUCCUGAGGAGGCGGGACUUGAAGAAUGGGAGGAAGUGAAUGGGGAGAGAAGAUUGGAGCGUGCAAUGAGGAGGUCCAAGAGAGCAAAGGUGUGAAGGGGGAAUGCAGGCGACUCUCCCCAAGCCAGCAUCCCUGACUCACUCAGACUGGCCUCCUGUAGCGCCUUGAAGAGAGCUAGAUUUAGAAGAAAUAUUACUUCAGCUCUCAGGAUGGCAAAAGAUCUAGCCAGGAGGCAGAGACUCUGGAAAAGUGCUAAUAAAUUGUUACUGCCUGCUAUUAAAAGGAUCGAUAAGAUGGUGAAACUGAGAAGUUAAAGGACUUGUCCAAAGGCACAUAGUUGGUCCCUCCAAAGAAGCAAUUGACUAAGAAGUCACUUCCUGAGCUGAAGGUCAGUGUGUUGGCCCUGGAAUGAACAUCGGUGCACCAGCGAUAAGAGCCAAGUGCUCUCUCCUGCCAUUUUCGGGUGAGGUUGGGGGGAGGCCUUGAGGCUCCAGC